UUUAAAUUAAUUAAAUUUAAUAUAUGGUAAAUAUUAUGAGCGGUAGUUUUAUUUUAAUUAAAUCUAUAGUAUGGUUAUUUUUGUUUUGUAAUUAAAUUAACUGAAUUAGUUAUUUUUAUAUUAGUUUUAACGUGAGUGAUAAUAUUUUAUAAUUGUUUUAGUAUAAUUAAUUUUUAGUACCUUUUGUAUCAGGGUUUAAUAAAAAAAAUUUAUAAGUAUUUUGUUAAUCUCGAAAAUAGAAGAUCUAUAAAAUUUAUGUGAGUUAGUGUUGAAUCAUUAUUCAUAAUUGUUUUAUAGUAAUGAAAUGUUAGUCGAUUUUAUUGAUAUCUAGUUUUUACUUAGUUUAAUUUAAUUAAUCGUUAGGUGUAAGAGUUUAAGAUAAAUAUUUAUUUAAUUACUUUACCUAAUAGUAAAGUUUUGGGGGUCUACCUCCAAAUUUUAAUUAAAAUGGAUUUUUAUUAAUUGGUGUAUUUAAAAAUUAUAGAUAAAAUUUUUAAUAUUUAGUAAUAAUUUAAUAAUUUAUUUAAGUUUAGAUUUAUGUUGAUUUAAAUUUUAUUUAACUUUUUAGGUAAAUAAUCAUUAUAGUAAAUAAUUUGAUGUAAUAAUGUUAAUAUAAGUAUAAGAGCAGAUUUUUAUCUAUUUAGUAAUAAUAAUUAUUUAGGUAAAAUUAUAAAUUUAUGAAUUGGGCAAAAUAAUAAAUCUAACUGUUUAACAAAAACAUAUCCUUUAGAUUAAUAAUUUAAGGUGACCCCUGCUCAAUGAAGUGUCUUAAAUAGCCGCAGUAAUAUGACUGUGCAAAGGUAGCAUAAUAAUUUGCCUUUUAAUUGGAGGCUGGAAUGAAUGGGGAGAUGAGAUUUAUGCUUUAUUAGUUUAUUUAAUUAUAAAUUAAAUUUUAAGUUAAAAUUCUUAAAUUGAUGCAGAGGACGAGAAGACCCUAUAGAAUUUUAUAAUGUUAAUUUUUAUUAGUUGUUAUAUUAUUAAUAAUUGAUUAUGGAAUUACAUUAUUUUGUUGGGAGGAUUUUUAAAUUAAAUGAACUUUAAAAUAUUUAAAAUCAUUAAUUUGUGAGUUUUCGAUUAUGGUUGUGACAUAUUAUAGAAUUAAUUACCUUAGGGAUAACAGCGUAAUGUUUUUGGAUAGUUCAUAUAUAUAAAAGCGUUUGCGACCUCGAUGUUGAAUUAAGAUUUGAUUGUAGGUAGAUCUAUAAUUAUUAAAGUCUGUUCGACUUAUAAUAUCUUACAUGAUUUGAGUUCAGAUCGGCGUGAGCCAGAUCGGUUUCUAUCCUUGCUUUAUUAGAUAAUUUUUGUACGAGAGGACUUAAUUAUUUUAAUUUUUAAU
rnacentral:rRNA from 1 species